UACUAGAGUAGCACUCGCAUAUCAAUAAGCGGAGGAAAAGAAACUAACAAGGAUUCCCCUAGUAACGGCGAGUGAAGCGGGACGAGCUCAAAUUUGAAAUCUUAAAGGGUUUCCCUUUACGAAUUGUAGUUUAAAGAAGUGUUUUCUGUUGAGGUUUUGGUAAAAGUUCUUUGGAAUAGGACAUCAUAGAGGGUGAGAAUCCCGUAUUUGACCUUUACUUUCAACUUUGUGAUACACUUUCAAAGAGUCGGAUUGUUUGGGAAUGCAGUCCAAAAUGGGUGGUAAAUUUCAUCUAAAGCUAAAUAUUGGCGAGAGACCGAUAGCGAACAAGUACCGUGAGGGAAAGAUGAAAAGAACUUUGAAAAGAGAGUUAAACAGUACGUGAAAUUGUCAAAAGGGAAGCGUUUGACACCAGUGUUGUUUUUCUGAAAAUCAAUUAAAGAAACUGUUUAUGCUAAGCUUGUUUAGACUUUAUCAGCUAUCUGUUUAGUUUUGAGCUUUUCUUUAAUGCACUUUUCAGUUAACAAGUCAACAUCAAUUUCUUUUGCUGUAAAAAAGCUUGAGGAAGGUGGCUUGAGAUUCGUCUUAAGUGUUUAUAGCCUCUUGCCUAUGCAGUCGGAGAGAUUGAGGUCUGCAGCGUAGAUCCUUCGGGACUAAAUGCAUUUGUGCUAAGUUAUAGCAUUUUAUAGACAACUUGUUGACUAUGAUUUGUCUUGUAGCUUACUCGCUUAUGUUAUUUUACCUACGCUUAGGAUGUUGAACUACUGAGACAUAG
rnacentral:rRNA from 1 species